rnacentral:lncRNA from 1 species
AUCAUCAGCAUUUUUCUGCACAAAAAGGGUUUUUAAAACAAAGAGAAAAUUUUCCUUAAAAGUUCUCUGAAAACUUCAGUUUUUCCGGGUUGGAUGUCUGAGCUGGUAUUCUGAUUUUGGGGAGAUAUUUUGAGUGUUGAUUCUGGGUCUUUCUCUGGUUUGGUUUUAGUGUUGCUGUUGGGUUUUGUUGGUUGUUCUUUCUUCAAAGUUCUGAUUAGUGUUCCAUCCUGUUUACUGCUUGUUUUUUGCUGCUACAAGGUAUUAAUAUCACCUCCUCUCAUGUACUGUUUUGAGGUUAUAUAGCAUCAGUGAGUUUGCAACCAAUGUGUAUAAUGAAUGAGCUUACCAUGUGAUACUUGGUUGUUUUAAUAUGAAUGUAAUAGAUUUGUUUGCUUGAAAAUGGAUAUCCAGUUGCUGAAAUGGUCUCCUCUCUUUCUCUCUUUCUGAUUGUUUAUCAUUUAGGUCAAAAUAUACUAGUUAAUGAAUCUCAAUAAAUGUUGAAACCUGCUUUUUAUCUUUGAUGUUUUGUAUGUGAGUGGUCAUAAGGCCAAGCAACCUCAGGGCUGGAGUUUGAAAUGCUGACUUGUGAGAAACAACUCUAUAGCUGAUUUCUUGCAAGUUUGAAGCUUGGUUUGAAGGAUCUGGUGGCAGUGGAAAAACCUGAAGUUAGGAGAAAUUUUGCUUUUGUUUACUUUAAAAAUAAAUUCUUCUUUUUUUUAGAUGUUAGUUAUAUUUAGGAGUAUGCUGUAAAUUCAUGGACAUUCAGUAGUAAAAUAGACUGUUGGAGUGAUUUUAAAUUUUGUUUUGUUUAAUUAUUAGUAUAGGUUCUUAGCAGUUGGACCUAUUAGUAAUAAACAUUAUUACUGCGUGAUGGUUUGAACAUGGCACGAAUUGGCCAGACUUGCAACAAGGCCCAAUAUGGGACUCACUUGAGCAAGUCUGGGCCCAUGUGAAUGGGCCUGGACGUUAAAACCAGUAGCGUGAUUUUUAAUCGUGAUGUUUUCCUCGAGAAUCAUAGUACAAAUACAUGUUAUUAUGUCUUGCGAAUUCUGUGAUUAAUUUUCAAACUAUCAUUGUUGUUUGAUCUUUGAAUGCUGAUGUUUACUUAACAACAAUUGAAAAUAUAACUGCUGUAAAUAUGCAAAUUUGGUUAAUUCGGACGUAGAUGUGGAUAGGCCCAGCUAGAAAACAUGUAGCAACUGGGCCCGCCUAAAUAUAAAUCCAAUAUAGGCUGUUUGAAUCACGCUCAACAAGAGUUUUUGGGCCUCUUCACUUCUGGGCCAAACUCUAGCCCAAUGCAGUCCCAAAGUGACCGAUUAUCCUUAAAUAAGUGAGUAAUGGGUCAUUGAUGGCCCAAAUCCCUUUUCAGCAAUAAUUUAAUAGCCUAGCUCCUCACCCUCUUAAGCAUGUCCUUGAUUAAAAGAUUCUCAAUGAAUUUCAAAUUAGGAUUAAAAUAUGAGUAUCCUUAGUUUUGCUUAAGUGAAACACAAACCUUGUUAAAAUAAAAUUGAGGUGUGCCG